AGAGGACAUAAGUGUGGAAGAACAUUAUGGGCUCACUACACAUCCUAAGUUUCCUGUUCCUGUGAUCUUGGAACCUAGACUCUCUUCAAAUCUCUAUUCCCCUAUCACUUGAUCCUAAGUGCUUCCUGUUAUAGCUAUAUCUUUAUUCCUCAGCCUAAGAUAUUGGAGUACACUCAAAAGUGAAGAACUUUUAGAUUUUUGUCUAUUUCUGUUUUCUGAAUUAGUUUAUGAUCCUAAGUGCUUCCUGUUAUAGCUAUACUUUAAUUCCUCCAAGAAAUAGAGGAUAGUUGUCAUAGGAAAGAACCUAAUUAGCCUAAGAUAUUGGAGUACACUGAAAAGUGAAGAACUUUUAGGUUUUUGCCUAUUUCUGUUUUCUGAACUAGUUUAUUCAAGAACAAGAGGGGUUGCUCUGAUGGUAAGCAACUCCCACUUCCAACCGAGAGGUUGUGAGUUCGAGUCUCCCCAAGAGCAAGGUGGGAAGUUCUUGGAGGGAAUGAUGCCGGGGGUCUAUUUGGAGACAGCCACCUAAGGGUAGGGGUAAGGUCUGCGUACAUACUACCCUCCCCAGACCCCACUAAAUGGGAUUAUACUGGGGUGGUUGUUGUUUAUUCAAGAACAAAAGAAGACAUCUAUGAAUAAAUAAAAAAAGUAAGUUGUUAUAUCUAAUUUGCUUUAGUAUUUUAUUUGACAAGAACUUCCAUUAGUCCCACAGCCAUCGCUCCACUAUCUCACCACAAAGAGAAAAUAAAAGAAAAGUUAGUUUACUUUUCAACAUAUGUGGAAUGCAAUGACAACUGAAGGACUACUUUUAUCUUUUAGAAGUCACCUCAGUUUCAAAAUGGUCACUUGAAUCUUCAGUCCAAGCAUACUUUUCUUCCACUUUACAAGCAUACAGCAUACAAUUUUAGACCAGGACGACGUACUUGACUAGAAGAUUUCGUCUCAUAUGUGGUCUUCCAAUCACUAUUACGUGGGAGAAAAGCCCAAAUCCUUGUUAAUUUUAACUGUUUAACCACUUCUUUCAUGGUUAAGAAUUCUUCUCCAUUCUUUACUUCUUUUAGCUUCUCAGAUACAAUCCUCACUCUUGCAUUUCAUCAUACUUCCAAACUUGCAACAUUUUAAAAACAAGGAAACCACUAAACAGUUCAUUCAGAAAGGAGGACUGCAUCAAUAUCCUCAGCAAAUUGUUUUUCGCAAUGUUUUAUAGGAAAAAAAGUACGACCCAGUACAAUACCACUCAGUGGUGUCUGGGGAGGGUAGUGUGUACGCNNN
rnacentral:lncRNA from 1 species